rnacentral:rRNA from 1 species
GAUGAACGCUGGCGGCGUGCCUAAUACAUGCAAGUCGAGCGAACGGACGAGAAGCUUGCUUCUCUGAUGUUAGCGGCGGACGGGUGAGUAACACGUGGAUAACCUACCUAUAAGACUGGGAUAACUUCGGGAAACCGGAGCUAUUACCGAAUAAUAUUUUGAACCGCAUGGUUCAAAAGUGAAAGACGGUCUUGCUGUCACUUAUAGAUGGAUCCGCGCUGCAUUAGCUAGUUGGUAAGGUAACGGCUUACCAAGGCAACGAUGCAUAGCCGACCUGAGAGGGUGAUCGGCCACACUGGAACUGAGACACGGUCCAGACUCCUACGGGAGGCAGCAGUAGGGAAUCUUCCGCAAUGGGCGAAAGCCUGACGGAGCAACGCCGCGUGAGUGAUGAAGGUCUUCGGAUCGUAAAACUCUGUUAUUAGGGAAGAACAUAUGUGUAAGUAACUGUGCACAUCUUGACGGUACCUAAUCAGAAAGCCACGGCUAACUACGUG